GUUUGAUCAUGGCUCAGAUUGAACGCUGGCGGCAUGCCUUACACAUGCAAGUCGAACGGCAGCACGGGGGCAACCCUGGUGACGAGUGGCGGACGGGUGAGUAAUGCAUCGGAACGUGCCCAGUAGUGGGGGAUAACCAGUCGAAAGAUUGGCUAAUACCGCAUACGACCUACGGGUGAAAGCGGGGGACCGUAAGGCCUCGCGCUAUUGGAGCGGCCGAUGUCUGAUUAGCUAGUUGGCGGGGUAAAAGCCCACCAAGGCGACGAUCAGUAGCCGGCCUGAGAGGGUGUACGGCCACACUGGCACUGAGAUACGGGCCAGACUCCUACGGGAGGCAGCAGUGGGGAAUUUUGCGCAAUGGGGGAAACCCUGACGCAGCAACGCCGCGUGAGUGAUGAAGGCCUUCGGGUCGUAAAGCUCUUUUAGUGGGGAAGAAGCCCACCCGGGCUAAUACCUCGGGUGUCUGACGGUACCCACAGAAAAAGUUCCGGCUAACUACGUGCCAGCAGCCGCGGUAAUACGUAGGGAGCAAGCGUUGUUCGGAAUUAUUGGGCGUAAAGAGCGCGUAGGCGGUUCGGUAAGUCUGACGUGAAAUCCCGGAGCUUAACUCCGGAACUGCGUUGGAUACUGCCGGGCUUGAGUGUGGGAGAGGAGAGUGGAAUUCCCAGUGUAGAGGUGAAAUUCGUAGAUAUUGGGAGGAACACCCGUGGCGAAGGCGGCUCUCUGGACCACAACUGACGCUGAGGCGCGAAAGCUAGGGUAGCAAACGGGAUUAGAUACCCCGGUAGUCCUAGCCGUAAACGAUGGGCACUAGGUGUUGGAGGUAUCGACCCCUCCAGUGCCGCAGCUAACGCAUUAAGUGCCCCGCCUGGGGAGUACG
rnacentral:rRNA from 1 species